GUUUUCUCUGAGCAAAUACUUAAAUACAACCUAUUAAGCCAGGUUUCUCAUCAUCUCAUACCUAUAGUUGUCUAUUUAAGCCUUAUAUGUUUUUUUCCUUUAAAAGUUUACACAAGUAUAAACGAAGGCAAGAAAGCAAGAAUUCACUAUCAGUUUGGUUAACUUUCACCUAGUCUUACUGUAUUUUUACAGUAUUUUUACAGUAAGACUAGUUUUGCUGGACCGGGGAUGGGUAGAUACACUUCUCAGAGGAAGUGAAUAAGCAUCCCAGAGUUUGCUGAGAAGUGGUAGAUUAUUAGCAGUUGAACUACAACUGGUGGCUCUAUCAUAAUGAAGGAAACAAGAAAAUGAUGUGAUGUGAAAGGUCGAUUUGUGUUUGAAUAUGAAUUUUACAAGAAAUGUGGCAUAAUAAUUUUCAAAAGAUGGCUGAUAGGUUGCUCUAAUUCACCUCCCCAUCACACAACAUUUCUGCCACUUGUUUUGUGUAUAUGCACAAUAUUUUACUUUUUUUCCUAAGUUUUUAAAGUUCAAAUUUCAGUUUUCUUUUAUAAGUGUUCAAUGAAGCUACUGCAGAAUCUUUCAAGAGCCAUGCAGAAUAUCUGCAAUUACUAGUGCAAGAACAAUUCUGCAAAUGUAACACUAGAUUUGUACAGUUGUACUGUUCACUAAAACUUCCAAAAGCUAGUUCCUCUACUGCUCCCUAAGGCACAAAUUCAGGCUUUACGUGAAUUAAGCUAUAUUGAAGACACAAACUGAAGCAGUCACCUGCAGCAAUCCAGACUCUGCAUCUUCCUGAUAUCCUAUAAAAAACAAAUCCCAGAUCAAAUACUACUUCUGUAUGUUCAGGUUGUUUGUGGGCUAUUCACAAAGACAAUAGCUGUACAUUCUGCAUAGAUGAGAUAGGCAGGUUGAAAGGGAAUCACCACAAAACUGUUAUCAGAAGAGGAACAGAAGUAAGUACCAGAUGCAUGCAUAAUGAGGUAAUUGCACAGCAGUAGGAGAGAUUUAAUUAUACCUGAUCUGGCAAGUUAUUUGUUUCUUCACUGUGCUAAUGCUAAGCCAAACAAAAGAUCAGGAUGUUGUUUCCCAUCAUGUUUUACAACAAUUGUUAGCAUUUAGAAGAAUGCUUUUUAAAAGUUAAGUGUUAAACUACUAGGAAAAUAUACUUUGCAAAGUCACAUUUUCAAAUGUUAUUUGAAGUAAGGGAAAUUUUUAUCUGAGCAAGAAAUUACAGCACCAGAAACCAGUCUACAUAGCAGUUUAACAAAGCUGCUAUUUUAUAUAUUUAAUAUAUUUAUAUUAAGCUCUUCUUUUCGUUCAUUGGCUUUUAUAUCCAAACACAGAUGCUUCAUAAAUGGAAUGUAUUUUACAAGCCUUUCUUCUUUGUUUUCUAUGAAGGGUUUUUAUACUGAAUUUGGUAAACUUUGUGUUGGAUGUCAUCUAAAUGUUGCUGAUGUAAAAACAAUGAUUUGUGACCAUCCACAGUGGUGAAUACAACAAACGUCCAGUAGAUGGAGAGAACACACUAUGAAAGGAAACAACCAAUGUCUGCAGAAGGAGUGAGGCUCCAACUAUGUAAGAGAUGAUCAGAUGGGACAAUUUGACGAGUGGAUCGUCUCUCAGACUCUGUUAGCACCCUGCAAGGACAUAUGGUUCUUUUACUCUGCCUUGGCCAGAUUCUGCAGCCAUGACCCACCCCUGAUAGUACUGUGACAGGCCUCCCAAAAGAGGUGAUAAAUGCACCGUGUACUGCUCAUUGUUCCUUAAAUGUAUUUUCUUACCAUUGCACCAGCUGUACAUACUGGACUUCUUAAGGAUGGUAAUUAGGAAAUAUAGUUGAAACAGGUUUAAGGGUGUGCAAAGGAGGACAGAAAUACUACGAUUGAUUUUUCUGUAUUUUUGUUUUUACAGACUUCUGUCUACUCAAGUAUCAGAGCAUUAAUCCCAAACGUGAUAAAUACUUUAUACCCAUGCUUCUAAAGGACAUCAGCCUGGGGGGAGGUAUCACAUCAGAGUAUCUUCAGCCGCAUAAAGCCUUUUAGUAACAUUGUUCAUAGCAGUCUGCUGUGACCACACAAGAAUAUGUGAUCUUAGGUAGGAACACGUAAAACUUCGGUAUAAUAAUUUCUCAGCAGUAGCUGCUAUAGCUGAGAAUCCACUAAUGAGCCACCUGCUUCCCAAAGCACAGUACAGCUCAUAAACAGUAUCUUUUAUAGGGAUUUGCUACUCUUUUCAAGGGUGACAAACAAAUCUGGCAAAUUCAAUCAAUGAGUUUCACAGAACAGGGAACGACAGCCCACAGCCCCUUUUUAAUGCACUUUUCUGUGUGGAUAGCCUGAUUUUAUUUUAUUUUUAUAGACUGAAAGAAGAGGAAAAGGUGAUGGUCCUGCAUUGCAGGCGGUCCUUAAUGCUGUGUCAGCCCUCAAAAACAGUGGGUGGCUACCUGAGUUAGCAGUGCCCUGGAAGUUUGCUUUGUACCAGAAAAUGGCUUGGGAAAGAAGAACUAUGAGAAAAGAACCCUGAGCUGCACUGGGGGCAGCUUCCAGUUGCUUGCUCUAGGUGAUAAGGUGGCAAUGGAACAUAGAGAAAAAGGCAGAGAUGUUCUGAAGCAAUAGUUAAGAGUUCUUCCUACAUACUAUAGACUUUUGCUGAAGAACUACUAAACUCUUGGUUGUGAAGAAACAUUUUUCUAAAUAGAGAGAAAGAGACUUUCUUAGCUCCACUGCAUUUAUUCAAAAAUUUCUAUUUCUUAAUCUUCAUGGGAAAAAAAAAAAAGAGAACUGAAAAAAUUAACUGAAAGUAUGUGUUCUUAAAUAUGAAAGGAUCAAGUUGCAUCUUUGAGAAGUGUGCAUGUACCAAUCAGAGGUAAGUAAGCUGUCUUGUACCACAACUGCCAAGUUGGUAGAUGUUCUUGACAACUUGGCUUUAGUCUGAAAGAGAACCAGAAUAGUUCCACCCCAUUGCCUCUCAUCUUGGAGUCUUGCAUAUCUGGCAAUCUGCUGGACUACGGAAUCUAAUCUAGGAUGAUCUAUUUCAUGCCUCAUAAAUUCAUUUUAGCCAUGGAAGCUCACACAACUCAAGGUAACUAAGGCAGAUGGAGAAGCAUCGCUGAAAGAACAGAAGUGAUUCAAUGAUCAUUUGAUAAGACAAAGUAGGUAUUUUGGGACUGAGAUAACUGUGGAGACAGAAAACAUAAGAAUAUGGACUGUUUUUCCCCAGAUCAGCUCUAGCUUCAAUCAGAAAAAAAAUUAUUGACAACAAAAACUCAUUAAAAAAAUUAUAUGUAAUUUCAUUCUCCAAGUGAUACAUUUUUUGAAUAGAGUUUAGUUCAGUU